rnacentral:rRNA from 1 species
CCCUUAGAUGUUCUGGGCAGCACGCGCGCUACAAUGGUCUUCGCAAACGGAUGCAUUCUCGAAGGAGAAUGCCAAUCUUGGAAUCUAUGCCUUGGUCGGGACAGUUGCUUGCAAUUUUUCGACUCGAACCAGGAAUUCCUUGUAAUCGUGAUUCAUCACAUCACGAUGAAUACGUCCCUGCCCUUUGUACACACCGCCCGUCGCUCCUACCGAUCGAAGAGUUAGGUGAAUUGUUUUGAUCGAUAAGAUUUGACUAUGGUCAACUCUCGUUGUGAAAUUCUGUGAAUCUGACUGUUGAGAGGAAGGAAAAGGCGGAACA